GGGUGCGCCCCCCGACUAUAAACAUAGGGGUCGCCUAAAUGCUAGUCCACGCCGCGGCGUGGGCAACACUAUCAAAUUGCGGGGACCCCCUAAAGAUCUCAACACCAAGCGACCCGCGGAAACGCGGGCGUGGCCGAGCUAAUAGCCCUGGGUAUGGUAACAGUUUGAGAUAUGACGCCCCUCCCUCUGGGGGGGGGGCCGAAAUGGGUGAUCCGCAGCCAAGUCCUACAGCGCCCCCGGGCGCCACGGAUGCUGUUCACAGGCCAAAUGGUAGUGGGUGGUCCCUCUAUGGACCGCUUAAGAUAUGGUCGGGCCCCCGCAGAAAGUGCGGGGGGUCAAGCAGAGCACCUGCUUGGUCGCGAACCGUUCCGUAGGUGAACCUGCGGAAGGAUCAUU
rnacentral:rRNA from 1 species